UGCUAUGAACUCCUUCGACACCUU
rnacentral:siRNA from 1 species